rnacentral:rRNA from 1 species
GAUGAACGCUGGCGGCGUGCCUAAUACAUGCAAGUCGAGCGGUAAGGCCACUUCGGUGGUACACGAGCGGCGGACGGCUGAGUAACACGUAGGAACGUACCCCAAACUGAGGGAUAAGCACCGGAAACGGUGUCUAAUACCGCAUGUGCUCUUCGGAGUAAAGCUACGGCGGUUUGGGAACGGCCUGCGCAUGAUUAGCUAGUUGGUGAGGUAAUGGCUCACCAAGGCGACGAUCAUUAGCUGGUCUGAGAGGAUGAUCAGCCAGACUGGGACUGAGAACGGCCCAGACUCCUACGGGAGGCAGCAGUAGGGAAUUUUCCACAAUGGGGGCAACCCUGAUGGAGCAACGCCGCGUGCAGGAUGAAGGCUUUCGGGUCGUAAACUGCUUUUAUCUGUGACGAUUAUGACGGUAGCAGAUGAAUAAGGAUCGGCUAACUCCGUGCCAGCCGCCGCAGUAAUAC